AUCUACAUAAUGGAAGGAAGGAUGAAUGAUGAUUGGAUGAGCGAAAAGAAAUAGAAGCGAAAUCAAAUGAUUAGCAAUGCGGUAGAGCUUCUCUGUAAAGAAAAUAAAUGGGUAUGUAGUAGGCCAUGGGCAUUACUGUCAAAGAAAGUAGCAGUGGAACAGCAUUUUUUAUACUUGUGGAUCGUUUUAAAUUAUAUAUCGCAGUGAAAAAUUGAUGAAAAAACUUUAGUUUUAGUGAAAAUUCCUGUCAACGCGUGUUGUUGAAUUAAUGGAUUCAUCCUUUAGGCACCACGUUUCCUGGCAGGUCCGAGUUCACAGCAAUAUCACCAACUUGAAUUGAUCUGACUGGUUGACUUCAUUCCUUUUGAUGAAAAAUUGUUUGUAGUUGUUGCGUAACGUUAAGGGCUUUUCGUCAAGAAUGACCAGUGGUGGAAUCACGUAAGAUGAUAAGUGAUUGUUUCCUGCUGGUGAUAAAGAGGUGUUUGCCGCUAUUCGAGGAGCCAUCUAAAACGGUUCGUAGUUGGGGCGGAGUCAGUUUCAUCAUCGACAAGAAUACGUGUGAGUAGGUUGGAAGUCACGAUGCUCUAAAUUUUAGAUAAAGUGUUUCUCCAGACUUCGGUUUGUAGAAUAACGAGACAUCCAAUAUUUACACUGAGAGCACAGGGGAAGUAGAAGUGCCCUCUGAAUGAGUGUUUCGUGCAACAAGGUGAUCCCCAUAACGAAGCAAUGAUGAGCGAGAUUACUACCGCAGAGAUAUUUUCAGCAAUCAAACCAAGUGCAUCAAGGUCAGGGCCUAAAAUUCUCAUACCCAUUCAAUGAACGAUGAAAUUCACUGAAUUCAUCUUCGUCUUUUCGUUGCCUCCUUCGUUACUAA